rnacentral:rRNA from 1 species
CACCAGACUCCUACGGGAGGCAGCAGUGGGGAAUAUUGGGCAAUGGGCGCAAGCCUGACCCAGCAACGCCGCGUGAAGGAAGAAGGCUUUCGGGUUGUAAACUUCUUUUGACAGGGAAGAGCAGAAGACGGUACCUGUCGAAUAAGCCACGGCUAACUACGUGCCAGCAGCCGCGGUAAUACGUAGGUGGCAAGCGUUGUCCGGAUUUACUGGGUGUAAAGGGCGUGCAGCCGGGCUGACAAGUCAGAUGUGAAAUCCCGCGGCUCAACCGCGGAACUGCAUUUGAAACUGUCAGUCUUGAGUACCGGAGAGGUCAUCGGAAUUCCUUGUGUAGCGGUGAAAUGCGUAGAUAUCAGGAGGAACACCAGUGGCGAAGGCGGCUUGCUGGACGAUGACUGACGUUGAGGCUCGAAAGCGUGGGGAGCAAACAGGAUUAGAUACCCGCGUACU